CACGUAGGGGGCAAGCGUUGUCCGGAUUUAUUGGGCGUAAAGAGCUCGUAGGCGGUUCGGUAAGUCGGGUGUGAAACCUCCAGGCUCAACCUGGAGACGCCACCCGAUACUGCUGUGACUCGAGUCCGGUAGGGGAGCGUGGAAUUCCUGGUGUAGCGGUGAAAUGCGCAGAUAUCAGGAGGAACACCAGCGGCGAAGGCGGCGCUCUGGGCCGGUACUGACGCUGAGGAGCGAAAGCGUGGGGAGCGAACAGG
rnacentral:rRNA from 1 species